rnacentral:rRNA from 1 species
GAUGAACGCUGGCGGCGUGCUUAACACAUGCAAGUCGAACGAGAAGUGAAGACGGAAACCUUCGGGCGGAAGGCUUUAUUUCGAGUGGCGGACGGGUGAGUAACGCGUGGGUAACCUGCCUCAUACAGGGGGAUAACAGUUGGAAACGGCUGUUAAUACCGCAUAAGACCACAGCACCGCAUGGUGCGGGGGUAAAAACUCCGGUGGUAUGAGAUGGACCCGCGUUCGAUUAGCCAGUUGGCGGGGUAACGGCCCACCAAAGCGACGAUCGAUAGCCGAUCUGAGAGGAUGACCGGCCACAUUGGGACUGAGACACGGCCCAAACUCCUACGGGAGGCAGCAGUGGGGAAUAUUGCACAAUGGGGGAAACCCUGAUGCAGCGACGCCGCGUGAGUGAAGAAGUAUUUCGGUAUGUAAAGCUCUAUCAGCAGGGAAGAAAAUGACGGUACCUGAGGAAGAAGCCCCGGCUAACUACGUG